AUUAGUAAAAUUGCCCCAAAUGAGGGACGAACUCAAAAAUGAUGCAUCCGGAGCUGACCUUAGCCAGUCCACAGUUAUUCGUCAGGGCUCAGUGCAAUGCCAAGACAAAUAACUGAGUCUCCACAAUUCUUGUGCUGCAGAAACUCAUGCCAGGUAAGUAAAGAACCGUAAGUGUAAGCACCCAUAUUUAUAGUAACGACGCGGAACGAAGCAGUCACGAAAGUAGUCACAUUCUUACAUGCAAUAAAGAAGUACAGUAUAAUUAUUU